rnacentral:tRNA from 2 species
ACUUAUUUAGUAUAAGAAGUACGGCUGCCUUCCAAGUAGCGGGUUUAAGUGAUGUUUUAAAAUAAGUA